GGGCCCUUAGGGUAGUCUGGAUAUCCUUUCGGCUUUCGGAGCCGAGGACCGGGGUUCGAAUCCCCGAGGGUCCG
rnacentral:tRNA from 1 species